GGCUCAGAUUGAACGCUGGCGGCAGGCCUAACACAUGCAAGUCGAACGGCAGCGGGGGGUAGCUUGCUACCCCGCCGGCGAGUGGCGGACGGGUGAGUAAUGCCUGGGGAGCUGCCCAAUCGAGGGGGAUACCAGUUGGAAACGACUGCUAAUACCGCAUACGCCCUGAGGGGGAAAGGUGGGGAUCUUCGGACCUACCGCGAUUGGAUGCACCCAGGUGGGAUUAGCUAGUUGGUGAGGUAACGGCUCACCAAGGCGACGAUCUCUAGCUGGUCUGAGAGGAUGACCAGCCACACUGGAACUGAGACACGGUCCAGACUCCUACGGGAGGCAGCAGUAGGGAAUAUUGCACAAUGGGGGAAACCCUGAUGCAGCCAUGCCGCGUGUGUGAAGAAGGCCUUCGGGUUGUAAAGCACUUUCAGCGAGGAGGAAAGGGUGGCGGCUAAUACCUGUCAUCUGUGACGUUACUCGCAGAAGAAGCACCGGCUAACUCCGUG
rnacentral:rRNA from 1 species